GAAUAGUAUUCCAUAGAGUAUAUGUGCGAAGCUGCACGCUCGGUCGAAGAGGAUGACCAUCCCCGAUAGAGGAGGACCAUUCUUCCAUCAAGGGUAUAUGAGUAGCUGCACUUCCCUGCUAGAACCUCCAAACAAGCUCUCAAGUUCUUGAUUUUGUAAGUUUUAAGAAGAGCACAGAGAAUGCAGAUCUUAUAAAAUCUUUGCAAAUGUUUUCAGUU
rnacentral:snRNA from 1 species